rnacentral:rRNA from 1 species
UACGAAGGGGGCAAGCGUUGUUCGGAAUUACUGGGCGUAAAGGGCGCGUAGGCGGCCAUCUAAGUCAGACGUGAAAUCCCCCGGCUUAACCUGGGAACUGCGUCUGAUACUGGAAGGCUUGAGUAUGGGAGAGGGAUGUAGAAUUCCAGGUGUAGCGGUGAAAUGCGUAGAUAUCUGGAGGAAUACCGGUGGCGAAGGCGGCAUCCUGGACCAUUACUGACGCUGAGGCGCGAAAGCUAGGGGAGCAAACGGG